AUGGCAGGAUCUAGAUCGAGUGUUCAUGGAGAAAACCAUGGGGAAGAAGAUGCCCCGGUCACACGUGCCGAGCUGCAGCGACUCGAGAACAACUUACUCCAAGCCAUGGAAAGGAUGCUUCAUGAGCGUCCUCCAGCAGGUGGUGAUAGGGUUCGACAC
rnacentral:rRNA from 1 species